rnacentral:rRNA from 1 species
GACGAACGUUGGCGGCGUGCUUAACACAUGCAAGUCGAACGGAAAGGCCCUGCUUUUGUGGGGUGCUCGAGUGGCGAACGGGUGAGUAACACGUGAGUAACCUGCCCUUGACUUUGGGAUAACUUCAGGAAACUGGGGCUAAUACCGGAUAGGAGCUCCUGCUGCAUGGUGGGGGUUGGAAAGUUUCGGCGGUUGGGGAUGGACUCGCGGCUUAUCAGCUUGUUGGUGGGGUAGUGGCUUACCAAGGCUUUGACGGGUAGCCGGCCUGAGAGGGUGACCGGCCACAUUGGGACUGAGAUACGGCCCAGACUCCUACGGGAGGCAGCAGUGGGGAAUAUUGCACAAUGGGCGGAAGCCUGAUGCAGCAACGCCGCGUGCGGGAUGACGGCCUUCGGGUUGUAAACCGCUUUCGCCUGUGACGAAGCGUGAGUGACGGUAAUGGGUAAAGAAGCACCGGCUAACUACGUGCCAGCAGCCGCGGUGAUACGUAGGGUGCGAGCGUUGUCCGGAUUUAUUGGGCGUAAAGGGCUCGUAGGUGGUUGAUCGCGUCGGAAGUGUAAUCUUGGGGCUUAACCCUGAGCGUGCUUUCGAUACGGGUUGACUUGAGGAUUGUAGGGGAGAAUGGAAUUCCUGGUGGAGCGGUGGAAUGCGCAGAUAUCAGGAGGAACACCAGUGGCGAAGGCGGUUCUCUGGGCCUUUCCUGACGCUGAGGAGCGAAAGCGUGGGGAGCGAACAGGCUUAGAUACCCUGGUAGUCCACGCUGUAAACGGUGGGUACUAGGUGUGGGGUCCAUUCCACGGGUUCCGUGCCGUAGCUAACGCUUUAAGUACCCCGCCUGGGGAGUACGGCCGCAAGGCUAAAACUCAAAGGAAUUGACGGGGCCCCGCACAAGCGGCGGAGCAUGCGGAUUAAUUCGAUGCAACGCGUAGAACCUUACCUGGGUUUGACAUGGAUCGGGAGUGCUCAGAGAUGGGUGUGCCUCUUUUGGGGUCGGUUCACAGGUGGUGCAUGGCUGUCGUCAGCUCGUGUCGUGAGAUGUUGGGUUAAGUCCCGCAACGAGCGCAACCCUUGUUCACUGUUGCCAGCACGUUAUGGUGGGGACUCAGUGGAGACCGCCGGGGUCAACUCGGAGGAAGGUGGGGAUGACGUCAAGUCAUCAUGCCCCUUAUGUCCAGGGCUUCACGCAUGCUACAAUGGCUGGUACAGAGAGUGGCGAGCCUGCGAGGGUGAGCGAAUCUCGGAAAGCCGGUCUCAGUUCGGAUUGGGGUCUGCAACUCGACCUCAUGAAGUCGGAGUCGCUAGUAAUCGCAGAUCAGCAACGCUGCGGUGAAUACGUUCCCGGG